rnacentral:lncRNA from 1 species
AUGAUAAUGAAGCUGGAAACGAAUGGGUACUUCCUAAUCAUUCCUUCACUGACAACGUGCAGGAGUUCACCAAGAGCUGGCAGGUGAACAGGUGCAGUCUGGUACAGAAGAAAGUGAAGCCAUGUCCAGUUACAGGUAACCAAGGAGUCUGUAAAGUGUUUUUUGAAGAAUCACAUUCACUUCUUCGGAACUGCUUCAAAGUUGUGGACCCUGCGCCAUUCUACACCAUGUGUGCCUAUGACACCUGUCACUCACAG